GACCGUAACAAGUUUAUGCUCUGCUCACUUGGUGCUUUCAUAAACUCAGAUCUGUCUGCUUGCCUGUGUAUAUGCUUACUGGAUCUUGAACUAUUUUCUUCCGCGAGGGUUCUUUUAGGUGGGAAACAAUCAGAAUCAUAGUGAUUGUUCUCUCCCAUGUUAAGCAUAUUCAGCUGCAAGCCUUCUACUACACUUUUGCCCUUGGAAAAGUCUCAUAAGGUGCAGAUUAUUUGGGGAAGCUCACAGAAUAUUUGCUUUUACCAUACCAGGGUCUACUUCUACAUCCUUUAAAGAGUGGUGGUUGAGUAUGCACUGUUUUCUCCUCCUUUGCUUCAGCUAAGAAUAUUGGUGUUACUUGGAAGUGUAAAAGUGGAUCAACACUAGGAAAGACAGUGGUGCAAGAUGUUUGGCAUAUGAUGAGUAAAAGUACCCAUCCAUAGCAGAAAGCACAAGUUUGACUCCGUAGAGGUGUUUCUCUUGUUUUGAACAGAGACAAGGCCUUUUAUGCUUCUCACCCCACCAGCAAGGAGGCUGGGAGUGCAUAAGAAGUUGGGAGGAAACGCAGCCAGGACAGGUGAUACCAACUCACCAUAAGGAUAUUCCAUACCAUGUGGCAUCAUGCUCAGCAUAUAAAGAUGGAUAAAGAAGAAUGAAGGCACAUUUGAGAUGAUGACAUUUGCAUUCUCAAGUAACCCUCACAUGUGAUGGAGCCCUGCUUUCCUGGGGAUAGCUGAACAUCUGCCUGCCCAUGGGAAGUGGUGAAUGAAUUCCUUGUUUUGCUUUGUUUGUGUGCAUAGCUUUUGCUUUACCUAUUAAACUGUCUUUACCUCAA